rnacentral:rRNA from 1 species
UAAUACGGAGGAUGCAAGCGUUAUCCGGAUUUAUUGGGUUUAAAGGGUGCGCAGGUGGUUGAAUAAGUCAGUGGUGAAAGUCUGCCGCUUAACGGUAGGAUUGCCAUUGAUACUGUUUAACUUGAGUUUGGAUGAGGUAGGCGGAAUGUGUAGUGUAGCGGUGAAAUGCAUAGAUAUUACACAGAACACCGAUUGCGAAGGCAGCUUACUAAUCCACUACUGACACUGAGGCACGAAAGCGUGGGGAUCAAACAGG